UAGUGAGUUUGAUCCUGGCUCAGAUUGAACGCUGGCGGCAUGCUUUACACAUGCAAGUCGAACGGCAGUGCGGGCAACCUGGCGGCGAGUGGCGAACGGGUGAGUAAUAUAUCGGAACGUACCCAAGAGUGGGGAUAACGUAGCGAAAGUUACGCUAAUACCGCAUACGAUCUAUGGAUGAAAGUGGGGGAUCGCAAGACCUCAUGCUCCUGGAGCGGCCGAUAUCUGAUUAGCUAGUUGGUGAGGUAAAGGCUCACCAAGGCCACGAUCAGUAGCUGGUCUGAGAGGACGACCAGCCACACUGGAACUGAGACACGGGUCCAGACUCCUACGGGAGGCAGCAGUGGGGGAAUUUUGGACAAUGGGCGCAAGCCCUGAUCCAGCAAUGCCGCGUGAGUGAAGAAGGCCUUCGGGGUUGUAAAA
rnacentral:rRNA from 1 species